rnacentral:misc_RNA from 1 species
GGAGAUCAUGGCUUUAGCAAGCAAAGGAACCUCCAAUUCUAAAAACGGCUUUACUACGACUGCUUCUACUUCUGCCAUGGAUAAAACUAAUUCCAUUGCCUCCAAUAAUAAUGCUCGAGAAGGACUUCGAUUGCAAACUCAGGCUAAUGGUUCAGAUUUGCCAAUUGCUAGAAGAGCUUCACUGCAUCGGUUCUUUGAGAAGAGGAAAGAUAGGGUAGCAUCAAAGGCACCAUAUCAAUUAAACAACCCCUCAUCACCUGCUCGUCCUAGACCCGAUGAAGAAAGCAAUCCCAUUAUUAUUGACCUAGAAGUAGAAGGCCAAUCAUCGAAACAGCUUGAGCUUAAAUUAUAGUUGAUUUGUUCAUGAUCACCAUACAACUUGGGAUGNNNNNNNNNNNNNUUGAAAAAAUCCUAGCUGUUACCCUUUUUUAAUUACUUCACAAAAUUCUAUACGAGUAAAU